rnacentral:rRNA from 1 species
UGGGGAAUCUUCCGCAAUGGACGCAAGUCUGACGGAGCAACGCCGCGUGAGUGAAGACGGCCUUCGGGUUGUAAAGCUCUGUUAUUCGGGAAGAACGAUUCGUUUGUGAACAAUGAACGGAAGUGACGGUACCGAAAGAGAAAGCCACGGCUAACUACGUGCCAGCAGCCGCGGUAAUACGUAGGUGGCAAGCGUUGUCCGGAAUUAUUGGGCGUAAAGAGCGCGUAGGCGGUAUGGUAAGUCUGUCUUAGAAGUGCGGGGCUUAACCCCGUGAGGGGACAGAGACUGUCAUACUGGAGUCUCGGAGAGGAAAGCGGAAUUCCUAGUGUAGCGGUGAAAUGCGUAGAGAUUAGGAAGAACACCGGUGGCGAAGGCGACUUUCUGGACGAGCACUGACGCUGAGGCGCGAAAGCGUGGGGAGCGAACAGG